rnacentral:rRNA from 1 species
UACGUAGGCAGCGAGCGUUGUUCGGAGUUACUGGGCGUAAAGAGUGCGUAGGCGGUUGUUUAAGUCUGUCGUGAAAUCCCCGGGCUCAACCUGGGAAUGGCGAUGGAUACUGGGCAGCUAGAGUGUGUCAGAGGACGGUGGAAUUCCCGGUGUAGCGGUGAAAUGCGUAGAGAUCGGGAGGAACAUCAGUGGCGAAGGCGGCCAUCUGGGACAACACUGACGCUGAAGCACGAAAGCGUGGGGAGCAAACAGG